GACGGAGGAUGCAAGCGUUAUCCGGAAUGAUUGGGCGUAAAGCGUCUGCAGGUGGCAGUUCAAGUCUGCUGUCAAAGACCGGGGCUUAACUUCGGAAAGGCAGUGGAAACUGAACAGCUAGAGUAUGGUAGGGGCAGAGGGAAUUCCUGGUGUAGCGGUGAAAUGCGCAGAUAUCAGGAAGAACACCCGUGGCUAAGGCGGCUCUCUAGUACGGUACUGACGCUGAGACGCGAAAGCGUGGGGAGCGAACAGG
rnacentral:rRNA from 1 species